rnacentral:rRNA from 1 species
AUUGAACGCUGGCGGCAGGCCUAACACAUGCAAGUCGAACGAGUGGCGGACGGGUGAGUAAUGUCUGGGCAACUGCCUGAUGGAGGGGGAUAACUAAUGGAAACGGUAGCUAAUACCGCAUACCAUCAGAUGUGCCCAGACGGGAUUAGCUAGUUGGUGGGUGAACGGCUCACCAAUGCGACGAUCCCUAGCUGGUCCUAGAGGAUGACCAGCCACACUGUAACUGCGACACGGUCCCGAGUCCUACGUGAGGCAGCAGUGGGGAAUAUGGCACAAUGGGCGCAAGCCUGAUGCAGCCAUGCCGCGUGUAUGAAGAAGGCCUUCGGGUUGUAAAGUACUUUCAUCGGGGAGGCGUUACCCGCAGAAGAAGCACCGGCUAACUCCGUGCCAGCAGCCGCGGUAAUAC